UACGUAGGGUGCGAGCGUUAAUCGGAAUUACUGGGCGUAAAGCGCACGUAGGCGGCUUUGCAAGUCGGAUGUGAAAUCCCUCGGCUCAACCAAGGAAGUGCAUCCGAAACUGCAGAGCUUGAGUACUUAAGAGGAUCGCGGAAUUCCCGGUGUAGAGGUGAAAUUCGUAGAUAUCGGGAGGAACACCAGUGGCGAAGGCGGCGAUCUGGGAAGAUACUGACGCUGAGGUGCGAAAGCGUGGGGAGCAAACAGG
rnacentral:rRNA from 1 species